GGAGUUUGGGCCGUGUCUCAGUCCCAAUGUGGCCGGUCACUCUCUCAAGCCGGCUACUGAUCGUCGCCUUGGUGGGCCGUUACCUCACCAACUAGCUAAUCAGACGCGGGUCCAUCCUAUAGCGAUAAAUCUUUGACCCCUGUACGAUGCCGUACUGUGGUCUUAUGUGGUAUUAUCAGUCAUUUCCAACUGCUAUCCCCCAGUGUGAGGCAGGUUACCCACGCGUUACUCACCCGUCCGCCACUAAGUAUUUCAAAUGAUUCUUCGGAAGCAAGCUUCCUCGGUCUCGGGAGAAAUACUCCGUUCGACUUGCAUGUGUUAAGCACGCCGCCAGCGUUCAUC
rnacentral:rRNA from 1 species